AAAACUUUUAUCAAAAUUUAGAUUCAAUUAAAAAUUUAAAUUUAAAAUUUGAAUUUCAAUUCAAAAUUUAAAUUCAGCUUAAAAUUCAAAUUCAAAAUUCAAAUUUCUCGUUAGUUUAAAAUUUUAAUUUUAAUAUUAUUUUUGAAUUUAAAUUUAAAAUUUUGAAUUUUUAUUUUUAGGGACUAAAAUAAAAAAUGUGCAAAAUUUAAGAACCUAAAUUGAAUGCAAAAGGUUGCCAAAUAAACGCUGAUGUGACAAUUCCGUUAAUGUUAACAGUUUUUUUUAACUGUUGGGACGUAAUUGUAAUAAAAUCAAGAGAUUAGGGACUCAAUUGCAAAAAAAAAAAAAAAAAGUUGGGGACUCAAGUGAAAAUUAGUGAGAAGGUUGGGGACUACCGGUGUAAUUAACGCUUUCUUUUAUCUAUAUUAGAGGUAUUCAACACCACAAAUAAAUUGAAUUACAACGCUUCCUACUGCAUCCAACCAGAUAAGAUACAUAAAGUUGUAACUUGCAAUGCUGCCCACUAUAUCCAACCAAACAAUAUGUAUAUAGUUUUAACUUGCAAUACUUUCUAUUACAUCCAACCAAACAAAAUACAUAUAGUUGUAACUUGCAACGCCUUCUAUUACAUCCAACCAAACAAAAUACAUAUAGUUGCAACUUGCAACGCUUUCUAUUACAUCUAACCAAACAAAAUACAUGUAAUUAUAACUGUUGUACUGUUAGUUACGUGCAUCUCUAACUAUACUAUAAUUCUAAUUACAUUAAAAGGGAAGCAACCCUUUAAUAUAGUAUAGAAGUAACUCAAGAAAAUCUAUUUGAUUUGUUAUACUUUUAGAUGGAGACCCAAUUACUAUGUUUCAGCCGUUGCGUAAACUAGAUGAAGUUGAAAAUAUAGCAGUUGAAAAAGAAAAUAUUAAACACGCAAAUAAUCUUUCCACCAACUCAUCUCUUUAAUAAAAUAUAAAGAUAAACGCCUACGUCUCUCUUAAAUAAAAGAGAUAAUCUUCUUUCAGCAUAAUUUCACCGACUAUCGGAGUAAGCAUGUAGACUAAUGAACUAAAGUUAAUUUCUUAAUCACUUCAUAUAUGUAGACUAAUGAAAUAAAUGUAUCCCAAAUAUAAGCAUCCACAAUUUCCUUCAAAAGUUUCUUAACCCUUCGAACAACCAUCUCCCUUACGACUCUUGGAAAACCACACAACGAUUUAAAAACAAAGAAGUUCAUCUAGAUUCAUGUUGACUAGUAAUUAACUCAGCCAAGAACUAAGAUUUAAAAAAGAUUUAUGCAUAAACUCGACCAAGAAAUAGAAUUCAAAUAUCCCAGCCAAUUUUGACUCGCCACAUUCAAGAUCAUACCAGCACUUUACACAAUCUAUAAUGAAAAAGCAAAGCUAGAUUAUAAAAAAAAAGGAAAAGGAAAAGGGUAAUCCAAUAUCGAACAUUUUUAGUCCCUUUUAUUUUUCAAUAGAUUUCCCUUUAAUUGAUGUGAACCAUAAAAAUUAUACCAUCCGAUUAUAAAUCAAACCCAUUUUAAACAAAACCAUUCUCCUUUACACCAUCCAACUUAAAAAGACCAGCAAUACUCCAGCAUAAAAAAAACACAACAAAGGAAAAGGAACAGUAAAAUAUUAACAUUUUCUGAUCCACACCAUCUGGGAGUGUGGAUUUACACUAGUCUAAAAAAUUAAAAAUUUGAGAUAAUUGUAAUAGGAGCAUGCAAAACUAGAUUAUAAAUGAAUCGACAGAUAAUGGUGAUUACAUUCACUUCAAGUGAAAGAUUGAACCACAUGCAUUUCAUAUAUAGUUUAAUAAAUCGUCAAUGUCGAUGGUCCUAGUGAAAAAGGAGAUCACCGUAAUCAGUUCUAUAUUUACCAUGCAUUCAAAUUUAAUAACCAUUCCAAUCUUUUUAGCCUGUUUGAGCCAGUGGUAAAUGAUGCAAUUUUCUUAUGCAGCAGAUUAUACAUUAAUAAAGUUGAUGUUACAAUACACUAAAGUGUAAGAUACAAAAUUAAUCUCCUAAAUUAGUAAGAGGAAUAGAUUAUAACAAGAGGAAUAAGAGUUAUAAUUUUAAAUUAAAAUAUUUUUAUCUAAUUAAUUAACAUCAAAAUAUUAAUUUAAAAUAAUUUAAUAAAUUAAUAAAUUUAUUAGCUAUGAAUAUUGUCUAAGAUAAUAAAAAUAUAUUAAUUAAUUGAUUAAAUAUAAAAAAUAAUUUAACUUUUUAAUUAGUUAGUAAAUUAUUUUAGUUAGAUAACUAGUAAAAAAAAUCUUCAUUAGAUUAAUAAAAAUAUUAAUGGUUGAUCAAUAUAAUUAUUAGUUUAUAGAUAAACACAUUAAAUUAUUAAUAAUUAAUUAGCUAAAUAAGUAUAAGUAGUAAAUUAAUUAAUUAUUUUAUUAUUUAAGCAAUGGAUAAUGAUUUAAAUACAUUAAUUAGAUUAAUUAAUGAUUUAAUAACAUAAUUAAAAUUAAAAUUUGGACUUUAAUUAACCUUGUUCUCACUUGAGAACAAACUUAUUCCAUGAAAGGAUGGAACAACAGUUCCAGACUUAUAUCUGAUUAUAUUAGCCUAUUCCAGAGACCUAAUAAAUUACUGUUCUCAGGUAUAAAAAUUUACGUUUGAGAACAAGGGGGUCUAAUGACCUAUGUACUCCAAAAGUCAACCCUAUCAUUCAAUGCAAUCUUUUUUAUCUAUGGUUAGAAACCACAAACACACACACACAAAAGAAAAAUCUUCAACUAAUUACAAGUUGACUAGUCAUAAUUUGCCAAUUUUUAAAAGGAAAAAAGAUUUAAUACAGCACAAACAUUGAAGCUAUGUGGAACCCAACAUCCAAUUAUACCAUCCAUUUAUGCCCCAUCCUAUUCUAUACCAAACCAUCUUCUUCUUCCUCCACCCCUUACACAAUCCAACAUAAAAAGCAGCAAAAAUAUGAGAAAAAGAGAGAGAGAGAAUAAAAGGGAAACUAAAAAGGAAAAGGAUACUAUACUGAAAUCUUUAAUUUAUGUUGUCUAAUUGUUAACUCAGCUCAGUAAUUGGAAAAGAAAAAAGAUUUAUACAGGGCAAAGUCCACAAUUUUUUUUCCAGUAAAAAUCCCUCCAAUUUAUGUUAAACAUUCAAAUAUACUAUCCAAUUAUACCUCAACAUCCCAUUCUAUAGAAAACCAUCUUCUUCUUCUUCCUCCAUCACCUCUUACACAAUCCAAAUGAGGGGUAAAAAAAAAAAAGAGAGAAAGGAUAAGAAAAUGAUAAGAUACUAAAAAUUUAAUUUAUUUAUGUUCUCUAUUCUUUAUCUCAACCAACUAUUGAAAAUAAAAGAAAAAAGAUUUACACAGUGUAAAGUCCACUUUUUUUUUUCUAUUACAAAUCACUCUAAUUUAUGUGGAACCAAACAUUCAGAAAUACCCAUCCAAUUAUGCUCCAACAAUAUCCCAUUCUAAACCAAACGAUCAUCUUCUUCUAUCAACCCUAACACAAUCCAACAUAACAAACAGUAAAACUAUGAGGAAAAGAAAAGGAUAUAAGAUACUAAAUCUUCAAUUUAUUUCGUGAGCUCAACCAUCUAUUGAAAAAUUGAAGGAAAAUAAGAUUUAUACAGUACAAAGUCCACGCUUUUUUUUUUUUCUUUUAACCAUCACAAAUCCCUCUAAUUUACGUGGAAUCGAACAUUCAAAUAUACCAUCCAAUUCUAGGCACCAAAUCCAAAGAGAGGAGGAGCGAAGGAUACUAACCUUAAAGGUCGAACUGUUCCAUUUGGACGUCCUUGGCCUUGAGGGGGACGUACUCGCCGAGGUAGACCUCAAGGUGGUCGGCGAGGUCGCCGCGGUCGAUGCUCUCGUGGUGGUGGGAUUUGCACACGAAGUAGACCACGGUUUGGACGACGAGGGCGAAGAGCACGACGGCGCAGAGGAGGCCGAGCAUCAGCGCGGCCAAGGCGAACCGCGCCCCCAACCCGCCGACGCGGCCCUUCACCACGAGCUCCCGGAACGCGACCUCGACGCCGACGAAGCAGAGGUUGAGCUUGACGAAGAUGGCCGCGGCGGUGCGGAGCUUGCCGCGGAUGAGGGCGCGGCUCUUGCGCAUGGCGUCGAAGCCCUUGGCGUCCUCGAGGACGGAGACGACGCUGGCGAGGUGCCAGACGACGCUGAGGUAGACGAGGCCGGCGAGGUAGGCGAGGGCGAGGACGAGGGCGGCGGCGGCGGCGACGCCGCCGUCGGGGGGCGCGAGGAAGAAGAGGACGAGGACGAAGAGGGCGAAGGCGAGGGCGUUGUAGGCGACGAGGAGGAGGAAGGCGGAGAGGUAGGUGACCAUGAGGCGGCGCCAAACCCUAGGGACGACGGAGAGGACGCGGGGGAGGGAGAGCUCCUUGGCGGAGUACACGGAGGCGACGGAGUAGACCACGGCGGCGGUGGAGAGGAGGGAGAGCGCGAGGAGGGCGACGAGGUAGAGCGCCUUGAAGAGGAGGAGCGCGGCCCAGUCCGAGGCGAGCCGAUCGAGGAGGCGCGUCUCCGACGGGGACCCGGGGGGCGCGCGCUCCACGGCGGCGUCGUCGGAGUCGAUGGAGGAGAAGAGGAUGUGGGAGAUGUGGAUGUGCGCGAGGAAGAGCACCGAGAGCGGGAGCACCAGGUACAGCGCGAUCUUGGAGAAGAGCCCCCGCCAUGCGUGGAGGAGCUUUCCAGCCUCCCUGUAGAUCCCCACCACCCCCAGGAACUGCAGCUCCUCGGGCUCGCAAUCCAUGGCCGAUCUCGGCGUAGCUUAGCUCGUCGGAGCAGCACGGAGGAGCUCGUCGGCCGCGGAGGAGAGGGGAACUAGGGUUGGAUCCUCGAUCCGGAUUAGGGUUUGGGGAUUAGGGUUAGGUUUAGGGUUAGAGAUCGAGAGAGAGAAAGAGAGAGAGAGAGAGAGAAAUGGAGACGAAGACGAAAAUGAGGGGAAUAAUAAAUGGGGGAAAAUUGGAAAAUUUGGGGGAAGGUGGACUUUGGAUUCGCGAGAUUGACCCUGGACUUCAGUUUAAUUACGGAGACAUGCCAUUCUCUUGUAAUUAUUAAAUAAUUAAAUAAUUAAUUAAAGCUGGGGCCAGGGUUUGUUGUGAUGGACCAUGGACGAUGAUGAUCAUUUGGUUCGAUUGCACCAUCUUACGUAUUUUUUUACUGUUGCGUGGACCUGAUCCAAUGACCCGACCCGUAAAUAUAUAUAUAUAUUUUUUAUAAAUCUAGCUGUUAUUUUAGUUUAUUUCAAAUGAAUAAAAAUUUAUAAAUCAUAUUUAUCAACAAAUUUAGAAUAAAAUUUAUAUUUUAAAAUUUAAUUUUGAUCCAUUAUAUAAUUAAAAAUUUUUAAUUAUUAAUUCAAAUUUGAUAUCAAAAAUUAAAAUUUUCAGGCUAAUUUGCAUAAAAAAAUUCACUUAUUUUGGACUUUUCUAAAACCGGACCACCUUUUUCGUUUUUGCUUAUUCGGUCUGCUUUUUUAGCAAACUGGCUAAGAUACCCUUAUACCUUUUUCUCUCUCAUCUUUUUUUCUCUCGUUCUUUUUUUUUCUCUUCUUAGAGAGCGGGGAAGACAAAGCGGACUCUCACCCGCACACCCCCACCUUCCUCGCCUCCGACCUCGCCGAGGCCGCGCCGCGACUCUUUUUUUCUUUUUUUUUUCCUCUUAGACUCUUCCUCUACUGUCUCCGACGACGACGCCUCUCUUGCCCUCCUCCACCCUUCUCGUCCUCUCUCUCUCUCCCUCCUCCUCUACCGCCUCCGACGACGAUGCAUCUUCGCCGUCGCCGUCACCAGCGCCGACGCCGGCGACGACACCGUGGAGGUCACUGCGGCUCUGCAGCCUCUGAGCGGGGGGUUCUCAGCGGUAUCGUCGUCGGCGCCGUGGCCGCUGGCAGAGAGGGGUGACCAAAAAAAUUAUAAAAGAAGCAAGAAAAAAAAUAAAAAAAAAAUUAUAGAACAAGAAUGAUGAAGAUGAAAUUGCAUCGUUAACUGAAAAAAAAAUUAUAAGUUGCACUACUUAAGAUGUAAACUGCAGCUUUAAGAUGAACAUUACACUCUUUAAACGAAAAUUACACUCUUUGGAAGAGAUUUACACUGUUUCUUCUCUUAUUGCACUCUUUCAGAUGUAAACUGCACCACGAAGAUGAAAAUUACACUCUUUAAACAAAAGUUGCACUGUUUCUUCUCUUGUUGCACCAUUUCUCCUCUUGUUAUACUAUUUUUUAUCUUAAACUGCACCCAUUUAAGAGAUAUUUAUAUUGUUUCUCCUCUUGUUGCACUAUUUUUUCUCUUGUUGCACUACUUCUCCUCUUAAAAUAUUGUUUCUCCUCUUAAAGGGUGCAGUUUAAAAUAAAAACAGUGUAACAGGAGGAGAAAUAGUGCAAUAAGAGGAGAAACAGUAGAAAUAUCUCUUAAAUGGGUGCAGUUUAAGAUAAAAAAUAGUGUAACAAGAGGAAAAAUGGUGCAACAAGAGGAGAAACAAUGCAACUUUUGUUUAAAUAGUGUAAUUUUCAUCUUAGUGGUGCAGUUUACAUCCGAAAAAGUGCAAUAAGAGGAGAAACAGUAUAAAUAUCUUCCAAAGAGUGUAAUUUUCGUUUGAAGAGUGUAAUUUUCAUGUUAAAACUGCAGUUUACAUCUUAAGUAGUGCAAUUUAUAAUUUUUUUUCUAGUUAACGAUGCAAAUUCAUCUUCAUCCUUCUUUUUUUAUAAUUUUUUAUCUUUAUUUUUUUUUUUUGCUUCUUUUAUAAUUUUUUUUGGUCACCCCUCUCCACGGCGCCGGCGACGAUGCCGCUAAGGACCCCCCGCUCCGAGGCUGCAGUACCGCAGUGACCUCCACGUUGUCGGCGCCGGUGAAAAUACAUCGUCGUCGGAGGCGGCAAAGGAAGAGGGAGAGGGAGAGGAAGAGGACGGGAAGGGAGGAGAAGGGCAAGAGAGGCGUCGUCGUCGGAGACAGUGGAGGAGAGUUGAAGAGGAAAAAAAAAAAAAAAGAGUCGCGGCGUGGUCUCGGCGAGGUUAGAGGCGAGGAAGGUGGGGGUGUGCGGGCGAGAGUCUGCUCUGUCUCNGCCUCCGCCGCUCUCUGGGAAGAGAAAAAAAAAAAGAACGAGAGAAAAAAAAAAAAGGAGAGAGAAAAAGUAUAAUGGUAUUUUGGUCAGUUUGCUGAAAAAGCGGACCAAAUCUGUAAAUACAAAAAAGGUGGUCCGGUUUUGCGAAAGCCCAAAAUAAGUGAAUUUUUUAUGCAAAUUGGCCAAAUUUUAAUUUAAUUUAAUUUAUGAUUUAAAUUCAAAUUUAAAUUUUAAUGUAAAAUAAAUGGAUAUAAAUGCUAUUUUUUAACAGAUUAAUUAUAAUCACUUAUUUUUAUUUAAAAUAUUUUUAACAAAUUAAUCAUAACUGUUUGUAGAAUUGAAUUUAUAGAUAGAUAUGAAUUUUUUUUUUAACAGAUUGAUCAUAACCGUUCGUUCUUAUUUCAAAUAUUUAUUUACAAAUUGAUCAUAGCCGUUCGUAGAGAAUAUUCUUUUAUUCCUUUUAAUCUCAUUUGUUAUUCUUACACUCCUUAGUCUUUAUCUUUUAUACAUAGUAUAGAUAGGAAUAUUAUUUUUUAAUAGAUGGAUUAUAAUCGUUCGUUUUUAAUUAAUCAUAAUUGUUCUUUUUUAAUUAAUCAUAAUCAUUUUGUAGGCCCGAUAUAAAUUAAAAUUUUAACAAAUUUAUCAUAACCAUUCGUUUUUAAUUGAUCACAAUUAUUGGAUAACUCAAAUUUGAUAACCAAAUUGUCACACUCUAAUAAUCCCACAUCGGAUAGUAAUAAUAACGGGACUUAAGUAUUAUGGGCCGGUGUAUGAGUCCAACAUGUUGUUGUUGCUAGUAAACUAGGUUGUUACACAAAUUAUAUUUAAUUCACAAUUUAAACUUUUUUUUAAAUUUAAAUUUAAUCGAUUUAAAUUAAAAUUUUAGCGGAUUGAUUAUAAUCGUUCGUUUUUAAUUGAUCACAACUGUUCAUAGUAUUGGAUUUAUAGAUGGAUAAUUCAAAAUAGAUGAAUAGGAAUGUUAUUUUUUAACAGAUUGAUCAUAACCGUUUAUUUUUAAUUGACACAACAGUUCGGCCUGUCAUUGUUUUUAUAUAUAGUAUAGAUAGUAGGUAACUUUUGGAAUAAUAGAUGUUAGCUAAUCACUCUAGCAGUUGAUGAUAAUAAUUUUUUUGAUUAAUUAAAAAAGCUACGUUUUGUCACUAAAAAGGAUUUAAGAAUUAAAAUUUUGUGGGUAAUUAAUUUAGUAAUUGAUGUUAAUAAAUUUUUCAUGUUGAUUGAAAAGGUUACUUUUCGUGCAAGAAAAAGCAUGUAAAAAUUUUACAUAGAUUCUUGGUUUCUGAAUAUUAUCCUACCUGGAAAAGUUUUUUUUUUGUCUAUCCAAUUCCUUAAAAAAGUAGUUUUUUGAAAAAAAAAAAAUUCCAAAUUUUAUAAAAAAUUAUUUCUAAAAAAUAAAUUUAUAAAAAGUUAUUCUUUAUUUUUUAAAUUUUUAUCUGAAAAAAAAUCUAUGAAAGAAAUAUUUUUCAUAAUUUUUUGAAAAUCAAUCUUUUAUGCUUUUCUGAGGAUUGAUUGCCCUUCAUUCCAAAUAAAAUGCAUUCAAUUAAUCAGAUAACUUAUUUUUUAAAAAAAUAAUUUAUAUAAUGAAAAUAAGAACAUGUGACAAGAAACAAUGUGGAUAGCGCACAUUAAUAAACUAAGCCACCUUAAUUCCUUGGCAUUUUAAUUACUUACUUGGCAUUAUGAGAAUAAAAUUUUUUCCCUACCAUUUAUGCUACCAUUUAUUACUCUUUGUUGGUCAAUAAAGAGCAAAUUACAAGCCAAGUUAUGGAUUAAAUUCUCAAAAUCCUUAUCCAAUUUGUAUUUAGAUUUGAAUUCAGAUUGAGCUUGUGUUCACAUCAAAAUUGUCGAUCUUAUAAAUAGUUUUCUAUACAAAAAGUAAAAGUGAGAUAUUCUCCAAAUAACAAAAAAACAAAAAACUUUUGAUUUCUUAUAAAAAUAUUUUCUACACAAGAGGAUGAAGUAAGGUGUUCUGCAGAUUUUUUUUUUUAAAAAAAAAAUGGUUAGAUUACAAAGCAAAAAGAAGCUUAUGACGCUAUAAUAAAAAAUUAGGUCUCAAAUAUAAUGUUAGAGAUUGGCUACAAGUCAGAAAGCGAGAAAGUAGCGAGGUUUUACAAACAUGACUUCACCUCCCACCCCACUAAAAUCGAAAGACCGAUUUUCGUAUAAUUAGAAGUGAAAAAGUCGGAUGUUCAAGUUUUUCUAUGAGUUUAUAUUUGGAACUUUUAUUCUCAUUUACUCUUAAAUUUAAAACUCGUAUAUCGACAUUCAAAUUAAUAUAUAUGAGUCUAGCUACUAUGCUAUUAAUAGCACCAAGCGCUUGGUGCUAUCAAAUUUUCCGCCGUUAGUUCUACUCCUUUGGCUAUUUUUACCCGUUAAAUUAUACUAUUCAACCAACCACACAUUCAACUCUAAGGGACUACUAUCAUCUUAACUAUAUAUUCCUACAUCCUAGAGCUGAAAAACCUAAUAGCACCCUAAUUAUAUAUAGGCUAAAUUACAUAAAACCCCCCUGUCAAAACCUGAUUUUUCACUUCCCUCCCUGUCAUUCAAAAAGCUACACUUUGCCUCCUUGUAAAAUAAAAAAUGUUCACUUCACCCCCCACCGUUAGUAAUCCGUUAGGAUUCCGUUUAUAAAAUAUUAUUUUUUUUUUUUAUGCCAAAAAUGCCCUAAGCUUUUAAUCUCCUGUGAACAUGGUGAAUGGUAAAAUGGUUAUUUUAUCAUCACAGUUCACACCGUAUCCCCCUGUAAAUAUUUUUCAUUUAUAAGGGGACAAAGUAUAGAUUUUUAAAUGACAGAGGGGAAGUGAAAAAUUAGGUUUUGACAGGAAGAUUUUAUGUAAUUUAGCCUUAUAUAUAUAUAUAUAUAUAGGUAAUAUUUUUUUUCCUUUUCCUCUUUACCUUUUUGGAUUCUUAAGAAAAGUUACAACCACCAAACACUUAGGUCUGGGUGUAUUAGUGUAUAUAUACUGCAAUAAUCUCUAGGAUGUAGAUAGCCUACUUUCCUCUUUUUAUAUGUUUUAUAAACCAACCAUAGAAUUGGUUUAUAGUUGCCAUUCAAAACCACAUAUGUUGAAGAACAAAUGUAAUGCUUCAUGGAUCAAGCUCCCCAUUUAACAAAAAGUAUAACUGUUUAUUUCUUUAUCUAUUUUGGCCAAUUUGCAUAAAAAAUCCACUUAUUUUGGGCUUUUGCAAAACCGGGCCACCUUUUUUAUUUUUGCAGAUUCGGUCCGCUUUUUCGUCCGCCUGACCAAAAUACCCUUAUUACUUUUUCUCUUUCAUCUUUCUCUCUCCUCUCUGUUUCUAUCGUUCUGUUUUUUUUUCUCGCUGCGCUCGCCGUUCUCCCUCGAAUCCUCCUGCGUCGUCCCCAUCACCGUCGCGUUCCCGAACCGCACCCUCCUCGCUCCCCCCGGCGACCCGCACCGGCCGGCGGCGGAGGAGCGGCCGUGGGGGCCGUCGAGGGGUGCGGGUUACCGGGGGGAGCGAGGAGGGUGCGAUUCGGGAUCGCGACGGUGAUGGGGACGGCGCAGGAGGAUUCGAGGGAGAACGACGGCCGCGGCGAGAAAAAAAAAAAGAGCGAUAGAAUUACACCAUUACACCAUUACCAUUACACCAUUACCAUUACACUAUUACACCAUUACUAUUACACCAUUACACCAUUACCAUUACACCAUUACACCAUUACACCAUUUACGCCAUUACACCAUUACACCAUUACACCAUUUGCCGACGGAGAAGAAC
rnacentral:lncRNA from 1 species